UGCAACCUCUUCUAGUACUUGCAUCUCGGUGUCCCUUUCCUCAGGCUCCUGUGCAGCUUUUCAGGGUGGCAUGGCUCUUCUCGUUUGUCUGAGGAUGGCGCAUGGCUCUCCUUGUUCAGGAAGUCUGGGAGAGGGCAGCAAACCUUCACAGAGGGUCUGCUGAGCACUGCCCGGGGGCGUCGGCUGCUCCAGGGUGACCUCCACCACAGCUGUGUGUUUGCUUCUGCUUCAGCCCCUCAUGACGGAAAAUCCUGAUGGGUUUGUCUGCUCAGUGGUGACCUCCGACAGGGGGCUGGAGAGCUCCUGGGGGGACAAGGUCUUGCUGAGUUGCCUAGUGCCUUGCUGAGUCACUGAAGCUGGCUUUGAACUCACAACCUUCCUGCCUCAGCCUCCCGAGCCACUGGGAUUGCAGUGUGUGCCACCGCGCUGACAGAGGUUGGUCUUUCUAAAGCCCCUCCUCUUCUCCUUGUGGCCCUUGGGAAAUCCCAGGCUUGAGCUCACCUGCAGCAACCGCAUGUAAAAGUGCUUGGUUUCUUCUUGGAUUCUAACAUUUUUUUCAGGCAUCUGAUCUCCCUUCCGUUUCUCUUUCAGCCAUCUUAGGCUGGGGGAAGCUGCUGCAUGUCUCUUCCUCUCUUUUCCUCCAAGGGGGUGAGAUGCACAUUUAGCUAAAGGCCCUGGGGUGGGGACCUUCCUUUGUGAGUCUUCUGCUGUGGCUCUUCUGGAACCACCGUCCCUCCUGCGGACCUGACUUUGGUGGGAACAGCAGGUGUGCACGCUCCAGGCUGCUGUGUGUGCUGCUGCAUCAGAAGCUUUGCACAAACCAUUCCAGCUAAAUACAGCCAGCCUUCCUUUCUAGCUCCUUAGAAGCAAAGAGUCAAAUUUAAACGCUGACCCAGAAUGUUUGUGUGUGACCUUUCAACUUCAGUUCGAACUCCUGUGAUCAAAGCGAAUUCUCCAGCUCCGAGAUGAUUGGAGUACUUCUUUAACAGCUGUUUGCUAUUUUCUUCCUGAAAAAAAGAAUCAUUCAGAAAGGCCCAAUAAAUACAAGGAAUAAACUGCACUGAGGAAUGUUCAUAUCUGACAUUAAAAUGGGCCAUAUCCUGAGAAGAUGUGGGGAGUUGGAGAAGCUGAUUAUCCCCCUGUUUAAAUGGAGAUCAUCUUGUUUAAUUACCAAGAACAGGAGCUUCCUUGUCUGCCUGCUGUCUCUUGCUCACCUCAGGAAAUGUCCUGUGGAAAAUCACCGUUCAGACUGCACAUGCCUACUCUCACAGGAGUCGGUCUUUCUCCUGCCUUUCACGAUAAGCUUUAUUUCCAUUUUUGCUCUUUAGCAGAGCGGAGACCCUGCUUUCAUUGUUGAGCUAUUGGGCAGGUCAGACAGAAAAAUGAAAGCCCAUGAAAGUACUUUAAAAUAAACAAUAGGGCACCUGUGUCGGGUGGAGUAUUGUUUCUUCCUCUCCUCGUCAGCCUUUUGCUGGAAGGUGAAACAUUAGCCAAGCUAGACCUGUGUCCCAGGUGGCUUUGGGAAGACAUUCGCUGGGUGUUCUGAGAACGAAGGGCCCUUUGGACCGUUGGGAUGAAACCUCCAUUUCUUCCGAGUACCUUUCCUGCCAUUUUUGUGGACUUCUAUGCAGCUUCUCUGUGCUUUAGUUUGAUUGGCUUUAAAAUUGAGGAGGGGGAGUCUUUAGCUCAGAAACUGCAUGCAUUGUCACCUUGAUGAUUUCUUGGUCUCCUCUGUCUCCCAAACCCUAAGACGUCUCCAUUUUCCUAGAGUCGGGAUUCUAAGGGAGGCCUGCAUCCCACUUGGAUAGACUGGACAGACGGUUUCAGGGUAGGCCUAGGACGGCCGGACCCCUCUCUGGAAGUCCUGGCAGUAUGGGCUGGGUGGGUCCUUUUGAAGGAGACAUUUCACUUCUGUAUUUUAAGGUAAAUAUGAAAAUAUUGCACAUACAAAUUGUACUGAUUUUUAAAAAUUAUCUGCUGUGUUUUUAUCAUUAUUUGUCUUCCAUUA